GCCGACGUAGUUCAAAGAGCAGAACACCAUGUUUGCCGCAUGGAGAUUCCGGGUGCAAGUCCCGAGCGCCGGCG
rnacentral:tRNA from 1 species